AAAGUUAGAUGCAGCUGCGCAAAUUGCAAGUAUUUUGGGAUAUGGCGGCAUCCGACCUUUUUCAUUCUAAUUUGUGCCAGAGAUAGACCAAAGUUCGGCUAGUGUUUCAGGCUUAUAAACAAAGUGUAUUUGUGCAGAUAUUUUUAAUGCAAUCCAAACAGAAGCGGAAUAUUCAGGCAUAAGCCUUAAUAAAACAUCGACGCACAAGGUUUUGAAAUGCAACCGCCUCUUGGCGACUCGCUAGACACCAUUUAAAUAGGCAACAUCUAAUUCGCAACAACACCAUCGUGGAUUUGCACAACGCAGCUCAACAAGGAGGACACCAGUUCAUCAGUUAGAGCAUAGCUUUUUCAAUCAAGUAAAAUACCAAAUAGAUUGAGAUAAAAAAGAAAGAAGAAAAUACUGGUAACACCUUUUGAAUGUUACUACUGGUAUUGUGUAUUGUGUGGAAAACCGCAGCAAAUUCUUCCGUGCAGAAAGAAGAGACUUCGAAAAGCUACGUAUUUGUGAAAGCCGGUGGAAGACGCCAAACAUCCAGAAAUAUUCUUUCUGUGGCAUAAGCAUAUUGGAGUCGUGCAAGACUGGAGAAUACGUAUUGUGAAACUUUGAUUUAUUGUUGUUGAUAUAUCGAAAGACCUUAAGCAGUAAUGCUGUUGUUUAUGUAUUAGACCGUGCAGGCCUAAGUCUAAGUGUAGGACUCGUAUGUAAGUGAGGUGUUAUCAAGACAAGCGCUAAGACCAAUUGAAAUAUUUACAUGCUACGUGUGUUUAGCAGCAGCAAAAUCACCGACAUCUAAACGAGUGGAUUUUAAUGCGUGUUGUACAGUACAAGGAAACAUAAAUACCCCUAGCAGUAGCUAGUGGAACGAUUUAGUCCCCGGCACAUAUUAGAAUGAA
rnacentral:sRNA from 1 species